GGGCCGUUAGCUUAGUUGGUCAAAGCACCGGACUCAUAAUCCGAGGAUCGUAGGUUCAAGUCCUACACGGCCCA
rnacentral:tRNA from 1 species